rnacentral:misc_RNA from 1 species
CAUCUACCGAUUGAAUGGAGAGGUAAAAUCUCCGGACUAUGACGCGUUGGGGUCAAACCUAAUGCAGUCGUGGGAAGUGGAUUAAACCUUUCCAUUUAGAGGAAGAUGAAGUCGUAACAAGGUUUCCGUAGGUGAACCUGCAGAAGGAUCAAGACCGGAAGAGCGUCGUGGAGGGAACGUGCGUAUAUCUCGGGCGCCGCCGUCCCCUUAAACAAAAAAAACCCCCCACCACACUCUCACCCUCCCUACUCCCCCACAUCCUCUCCUCCCACUCUCC